AUUGAACGCUGGCGGCAUGCUUUACACAUGCAAGUCGGACGAGUGGCGAACGGGUGAGUAACAUAUCGGAACGUACCGAGUAAUGGGGGAUAACUAAUCGAAAGAUUAGCUAAUACCGCAUAUUAUUCGAGCGGCCGAUAUCUGAUUAGCUGGUUGGUGGGGUAAAGGACUACCAAGGAGACGAUCAGUAGCGGGUCUGUGCGGAUGAUCCGCCAACCUGGGAAUGAGACCCGGCCCAGACUCCUACGUGAGGCAGAAGUGGGGAAUUUUGGACAAUGGGCGCAAGCCUGAUCCAGCCAUGCCGCGUGUCUGAAGAAGGCUUUCGGGUUUUAAAGGACGUUUGUCAGGGAAGCGGUACCUGAAGAAUAAGCACCGGCGAACUACGUGCCAGCCGCCGCGGUAAUAC
rnacentral:rRNA from 1 species